rnacentral:misc_RNA from 1 species
GAUGAAGAACGCAGCGAAAUGCGAUAAGUAGUGUGAAUUGCAGAAUUCAGUGAAUCAUCGAAUCUUUGAACGCACAUUGCGCCCCCUGGUAUUCCUGGGGGCAUGCCUGUUCGAGCGUCAUUAACAACCAAUCGGGCGGGGCUUUUGCAUGCUCCCGCUCGGCCAUGGGGGAUGGACGUCGUCGGACGCCCACCCCCGAAAUGCAACGGCGGACGGCCACCCGUGGCACUGCGGCGUAGUAAGUUAACCCUUCGCGCGCGCCCACGGAGUGGACUGCCCGGCCGCUUGAACCCCCACACAUCCUACGGUUGACCUCGGAUCAGGUAGGGAUACCCGCUGAACUUAAGCAUAUCAAUAAGCGGAGGA